CUGUGAGAGGACGUCACACAGCCAGGUGGGGUCCAGGUAAAAGAAGUUAUUCAAGCCUUGUAACUGUUCAUUGAAGUGAAGCAUUGCUCCAGACGUUACAAGGAACUUUACCACUACAAAACACAUGGAAGCUAUACAAAGAAAUUAUGUGGACUGAGGGAUCAAAAGAUUGAUGUCUGAUGAAAAACUUAAUUCCAACUUCUGUUGUCUAACAUACCGGUAAAUAAAACGAAGGACAUGUUGUACUUGGGAAUUACUUCGCUGAUGAUUAAAUUUUUUCUUGUUUUUUUUUUUAAUGAAUACACAAAAGAAAUUUAAAAUAUUUACAGUUCCUUAUAAGAGCAAAGUACUUCAUCAUAUAAAAUUUUUAUCAACAUUUAUCCCAAUUAAUUUUGAGGGAGAGAUAGGGGUCUUGAUGAAAACCUUAUGAAUUAAGUUUUUCAUCUGAUAUUACAUGAUUUUCCAACAGAUACAAGAAAACAAUUCCCUGCAUGUACUUUAGAACUGAGAAGAAUUUUUUUUUUACAAGAAAUGCUUCAGUACACCUACCAGUUUAUCCAGAAUUCCACUCUUUUUUUUUGGACAAAGAGUGGUUUCCACUCUCCGGAUUCCUGACCCAUGGAUUUCAAAGUUGGAUUUACAGCCUAGCAGCUGAAGGGGACACCUCACCUCCUGGGAUUCCAGUCCCUUGGAUGUUCAGACUGUUACACUGACUCAGGCGCCCAAGCUCUUUUGGGAGACUAGUUGACAGACAGAAGGGGGCACACAGUCUAGGCAGUUGUCACUCAGGUUCAACUCGUUCAAGCAAUGAGCCAGAAAAGACGGCAGGGCGAUCCUAGAAGACACAUUCUCACUGCAGCUUGAUAGUCUGCUCCUUCGCCUCGGCAGUAACCUGAUUUGCCAGCAAACCUUGCUGAAGCCAAACAUCAUUAACAGACUAAAUAUAAGGAUCAACUGACCUUUUACAGAGGAUGGUACACUGAGGAUCCACUCUGAUGGCGCUGAUUUUGUUACAGGAGGCGUUGAACGU